AUUGAACGCUGGCGGCAGGCCUAAAACAUGCAAGUCGAGCGGAUGAGUGGAGCUUGCUCCAUGAUUCAGCGGCGGACGGGUGAGUAAUGCCUAGGAAUCUGCCUGGUAGUGGGGGACAACGUUUCGAAAGGAACGUUAAUACCGCAUACGUCCUACGGGAGAAAGUGGGGGACCUUCGGACCUCACGCUAUCAGAGGAGCCUAGGUCGGAUUAGCUAGGUGGUGAGGUAACGGCUCACCAAGGCGACGAUCCGUAACUGGUCUGAGAGGAUGAUCAGUCACACUGGAACUGAGACAAGGUCCAGACUCCUACGGGAGGCAGCAGGGGGGAAUAUUGGACAAUGGGCGAAAGCCUGAUCCAGCCAUGCCGCGUGUGUGAAGAAGGUCUUCGGAUUGUAAAGCACUUUAAGUUGGGAGGAAGGGCAGUAAGUUAAUACCUUGCUGUUUUGACGUUACCAACAGAAUAAGCACCGGCUAACUUCGUGCCAGCAGCCGCCGUAAAAC
rnacentral:rRNA from 1 species